UUAUUAUUUCACACUAUGGCUAACGACCAACGUCCAACGUGUAUUUUACAUUUGUCACCGUACAUCAACGCAUAACGUAUCAUCGUUUACCAUCAAAGAAUAAAACCCUGUGGAUGCGAGUUCUUUGUGAUUUGUCAUUCUUGCGUCUACACUAUGUUUACGUUAAAAUA